GUACUCACUUCUGCAGCACAUAUACUAAAAUUGGAACGAUAUGGAGAAUAGCAUGACACCUGCACAAGGAAGACAUGCAAAUUCAUAAAGUGAUCCAUAUUUAA